CCUACGGGUGGCUGCAGUGGGGAAUAUUGGACAAUGGGCGAAAGCCUGAUCCAGCCAUGCCGCGUGUGUGAAGAAGGCCUUCGGGUUGUAAAGCACUUUCAGUGGGGAAGAAAGCCUUGGGGCUAAUACCCUCGAGGAAGGACAUCACCCACAGAAGAAGCACCGGCUAACUCCGUGCCAGCAGCCGCGGUAAUACGGAGGGUGCGAGCGUUAAUCGGAAUUACUGGGCGUAAAGCGCGCGUAGGCGGUCUGAUAAGCCGGUUGUGAAAGCCCCGGGCUCAACCUGGGAACGGCAUCCGGAACUGUCAGGCUAGAGUGCAGGAGAGGAAGGUAGAAUUCCCGGUGUAGCGGUGAAAUGCGUAGAGAUCGGGAGGAAUACCAGUGGCGAGGCGGCCUUCUGGACUGACACUGACGCUGAGGUGCGAAAGCGUGGGUAGCAAACAGGAUUAGAUACCCUAGUAGUC
rnacentral:rRNA from 1 species